rnacentral:rRNA from 1 species
UACAGAGGUGGCAAGCGUUGUUCGGAAUUACUGGGCGUAAAGGGCGCGUAGGCGGUCUUUUAAGUUCCGUGUGAAAUCCCUCGGCUCAACUGGGGAACUGCACGGGAAACUGGAAGGCUUGAGUUCGGGAGAGGGAAGCGGAAUUCCGGGUGUAGCGGUGAAAUGCGUAGAUAUCAGGAGGAACACCUGCGGUGUAGACGGCUUACUGGACCAUAACUGACGCUGAGGCACGAAAGCGUGGGUAGCAAACAGG